rnacentral:rRNA from 1 species
UUAAUUGAAGAGUUUGAUCAUGGCUCAGAUUGAACGCUGGCGGCAGGCCUAACACAUGCAAGUCGAGCGGUAACAGAAAGAAAGCUUGCUUUCUUUGCUGACGAGCGGCGGACGGGUGAGUAAUGCCUGGGAAUAUACCCUGAUGUGGGGGAUAACUAUUGGAAACGAUAGCUAAUACCGCAUAAUCUCUUCGGAGCAAAGAGGGGGACCUUCGGGCCUCUCGCGUCAGGAUUAGCCCAGGUGGGAUUAGCUAGUUGGUGGGGUAAUGGCUCACCAAGGCGACGAUCCCUAGCUGGUCUGAGAGGAUGAUCAGCCACACUGGAACUGAGACACGGUCCAGACUCCUACGGGAGGCAGCAGUGGGGAAUAUUGCACAAUGGGGGAAACCCUGAUGCAGCCAUGCCGCGUGUAUGAAGAAGGCCUUCGGGUUGUAAAGUACUUUCAGUUGUGAGGAAGGCGUUGGAGUUAAUAGCUUCAGCGCUUGACGUUAGCAACAGAAGAAGCACCGGCUAACUCCGUGCCAGCAGCCGCGGUAAUACGGAGGGUGCGAGCGUUAAUCGGAAUUACUGGGCGUAAAGCGCAUGCAGGCGGUCUGUUAAGCAAGAUG